rnacentral:rRNA from 1 species
CCUACGGGAGGCUGCAGUGGGGAAUAUUGGACAAUGGGGGGAACCCUGAUCCAGUCAUGCCGCGUGUGUGAAGAAGGCCCUCGGGUUGUAAAGCACUUUCAGUGAGGAAGAACGCCUGGUGGUUAAUACCCAUCAGGAAAGACAUCACUCACAGAAGAAGCACCGGCUAACUCCGUGCCAGCAGCCGCGGUAAUACGGAGGGUGCGAGCGUUAAUCGGAAUUACUGGGCGUAAAGCGCGCGUAGGUGGCUUGAUAAGCCGGUUGUGAAAGCCCCGGGCUCAACCUGGGAACGGCAUCCGGAACUGUCAAGCUAGAGUGCAGGAGAGGAAGGUAGAAUUCCCGGUGUAGCGGUGAAAUGCGUAGAGAUCGGGAGGAAUACCAGUGGCGAAGGCGGCCUUCUGGACUGACACUGACACUGAGGUGCGAAAGCGUGGGUAGCAAACAGGAUUAGAUACCCUAGUAGUC